rnacentral:rRNA from 1 species
GACCGGCGCACGGGUGAGUAACACGUAUGCAACCUGCCCGCCACAGGGGGAUAAGCGGAAGAAAUUCCGUCUAAUACCGCGUGACGCGGCGCCGGGGCAUCCCGGUGCCGCCAAAGGGAUUACCGGUGGCGGAUGGGCAUGCGGCGCAUUAGCUAGUCGGCGGGGUAACGGCCCACCGAGGCGACGAUGCGUAGGGGUUCUGAGAGGAAGGUCCCCCACACUGGUACUGAGACACGGACCAGACUCCUACGGGAGGCAGCAGUGAGGAAUAUUGGUCAAUGGGCGCGAGCCUGAACCAGCCAAGUCGCGUGAGGGAUGACGGUCCUACGGAUUGUAAACCUCUUUUGCCGGGGAGCAAGCGUGCGUUCGUGAACGCACGUCGAGAGUACCCGGAGAAAAAGCAUCGGCUAACUCCGUGCCAGCAGCCGCGGUAAUACGGAGGAUGCGAGCGUUAUCCGGAUUUAUUGGGUUUAAAGGGUGCGUAGGCGGGAUGCCAAGUCAGCGGUAAAAAUGCGGUGCUCAACGCCGUCGAGCCGUUGAAACUGGCGUUCUUGAGUGGGCGAGAAGUAUGCGGAAUGCGUGGUGUAGCGGUGAAAUGCAUAGAUAUCACGCAGAACUCCGAUUGCGAAGGCAGCAUACCGGCGCCCUACUGACGCUGAGGCACGAAAGCGUGGGUAUCGAACAGGAUUAGAUACCCUGGUAGUCCACGCAGUAAACGAUGAAUGCUAACUGUCCGGCGCGAAUGAGCGCUGGGCGGUACAGCGAAAGCG